UAUUUGAGUAUUGCGGGAAGGAAUUUUUAAGGUUGGAAUACAAUUCUCUCAAUGGAGGGAGAGAUUCGUGAUUAGUAAACGAGGUGUCUGGUCGGAUUGAGGAACAAAUUGCAGAAAAGAAAUCUUGCUUGGGAGUGGUGGCAGUUCUUGUAAACUCGGAAGUGGGAGUAGGGGCCUCAGGCAGGCGAAGACAAGGAUUUGAGCACCAACUUGAACAGGCUUUUGAGGCCUCUCUGACGCAAGGUACUUCCAUAUCACUCUUUAAGUUCUACAGUUUCUAUCAGACUUCAAAUCCUGCACUCCCUUUUCCUUGUUUUCCCUUAUUUUCCAUCUAACUUUGUGAUAAAUAACUCACCUAAUGCAGCAGAAAAAAGUUUCAUAUGUGAAAGUUUCUGGAAUGGUUAUUGAAUGCGUUACCGCAGGGGGAAAUUUUCCAGCAUAUGCUGAUUGACCAUGUCUACCAUGGAUUGCAAUGCCUUCCCUCUCACUUCUCAAUGUCGUAUACGGGGCGUUUAGUGCUUUCUUUCCUUUACUCUUUGUACUCUGAGAUAAAUCGGUCAAUAUCACCUUUCUUUGUUUUUGUCAACCAUCAUGUGAGGGCUAUAUUGUACAUUUUCUUUCAUUUCCAUUAAAGGCGGAUUAGAAAGUUCUC
rnacentral:lncRNA from 1 species